AUUUACAACUCGUAGCACUGGAUCCCUUGGCACGUCAGUCGAUGAAGAGCGUUGCAACCUGCGAUAAGUGGGGUGAUACGCGAGUUCACAAACUCCAAGUGAACCAUCGAAUUCUCGAACGCAUUGCACCGCCCUCUCUGAGGGAGUGGUAUAUCGGAU
rnacentral:rRNA from 1 species